AGUGGGGAAUCUUAGACAAUGGGGGCAACCCUGAUCUAGCCAUGCCGCGUGAGUGAUGAAGGCCUUAGGGUUGUAAAGCUCUUUCAGCUGGGAAGAUAAUGACGGUACCAGCAGAAGAAGCCCCGGCUAACUCCGUGCCAGCAGCCGCGGUAAUACGGAGGGGGCUAGCGUUGUUCGGAAUUACUGGGCGUAAAGCGCACGUAGGCGGACCGGAAAGUUGGGGGUGAAAUCCCGGGGCUCAACCUCGGAACUGCCUUCAAAACUAUCGGUCUGGAGUUCGAGAGAGGUGAGUGGAAUUCCGAGUGUAGAGGUGAAAUUCGUAGAUAUUCGGAGGAACACCAGUGGCGAAGGCGGCUCACUGGCUCGAUACUGACGCUGAGGUGCGAAAGCGUGGGGAGCAAA
rnacentral:rRNA from 1 species